UGAGACAUCAAAUUACCAACAUUUGCAUUACAAGGCUCCUAUAAGAAAAGAAAAAGGACCUGAGAAAAUAUUUGAAGAGAUAGUAGCUAAAAACGUCCCUAACAUGAGAAAGGAAACUCAAAUACAGCAAGUCAGAGUCCCAAAAGGAUAAACCCAAGAAGGAACAUGCCAAGACACGUAUUAAUCAAACAGACAAAAAUCAAAGACAAAAAAUAUUAAAAACAAGGGGAGAGCAGCAAAUAACAGACAAAGGAAUCCCCUAAGCUGUUUUUAGCAGAAACUCUGAAGGUCAGAAGGUAGUGGCAGGGUAUGUUUAAAGUGAUGAAAGGGAAAAACUUACAACCAAGAAUAUUCUACCCAGCAAGGCUCUUAUUCAGAUUUCAUGAAGAAAUCAAAAACUUUACAGAUAAACAAAAGCCAAGAGAAUUCAGGAUCACCAAACUAGAUUUACAGCAAAUGCUAAAGGAACUUAUCUAGGCAGAAAAGAAAAGGCAACAACUAAAAACAAAAUUACCAGGCAGACUUAAGCAAAUCCCACCCUAUCCUGGAUGGAGUCCUCAUUCCCUCCCCGACCCGUGACACUGACCAGAACAUGCCCAGAGAUCCUUCCCCUUUUGUGGUAAAGGACUGCUAAGUUCCUGGCCUUAUCAGGCCCAAGCAGAAGGUCAAAACAUAGCUAGGCUUUCCAAAUUGCCAGCACCAGUUGGUUCAGGGGCACCAAGACCAAGAGGUGACCCAGAAUGACCCAGUACAUUAUGUCAUAUUUAUAAUAAUUAGCAUUGUGGUUUUUGACACUUGGGUUUCAUUUGAGUGCUUAUGGGUAAGCACCUGCACACAAGGAGAAAAGACGCAUAACCUAAAGCUGUCAAAGACCUUGUCAAUCAAAUCAUGUAGGACAUAGGGAAGGACUUUGCACUACUCUGAAAAAAUCAGCCCUCCCCUCACUGUCGGGCUGUUCCUGGUUUUCCAGACAGACCACUCUCUUCCCUUCAGGAGAAUACUUUAGCUUGCUUUGCUUAAUAAAACUUGAAACUGCUCUUUAUCUCUUGACUGAAUUCUUUCCUUAGGGGACAAGAACAGAGGAACUGCCAUUCUACCAGUAACAUAUCUGGUGCCAUGACUCAGAUUUGCUGGAUUUGAAAGAUGGGCAACCAACUGUCCGCCUCUGGAGAUGCACCCUUGGGAUGUAUCCUAAAGAACUGGGCUAAGUUUGAUGCCCAAACAUUGAAGGGGAGGCAAUUUUCUUCUGCAACACAGCAUGUCCACAAUAUAAGCUAGGAGGGGGGAGAAAUCUGACCUGGUAUUGGGAGUUUAAAUUAUAAUACCAUACUACUGGCAGCAUUACAGGUCCGGCAACCAACUCCUUGUUGCCCUUAGGAUCUCUUCCAACCCCCUACCCUGGCCACUGUCAUCACUGCAGGAACCCAGGAUGCUGGAAGACAAACUGCCUGGAAACACAAAGAAGCCCCAUAAGUCAUGCCCCAAUGCAACAAGUUUGGCCACUGGAAAAAGGACUGCCCUUAGGUCAGGAGGGACCUUUGGUCUGUCCCUGACCAAAUCAUGACCUUGAACUGAAGGUAUCCUCAACCCCAGCUUCUGAAUCAAGGACCAUUAUCAUAGGACAGAGCACAGGGCAACUUUGGAUGUGGCAGGUAGAGCUGGAAAUUUUCUAUUUGAGAUGCACUAGGAUGUCUGCGUGAACCUUCAAUUCAUUGUAAAGCUUUUAGCUAUAAAACCAUGAUUAAAGAAGAGUUUCCCAGUGUCCUAGUGUGUUAAGGAUCCAACACUGUCACUGCUAUGGCUUGGUUUACUGUUGUGACAUGAGUUCAAUCCCUGGCCUGGGAACUUCUGCAUGAUGUGGUGGAAAAAAAAAAAAAA